rnacentral:rRNA from 1 species
GCCAGACUCCUACGGGAGGCAGCAGUGGGGAAUAUUGCACAAUGGGGGGAACCCUGAUGCAGCAACGCCGCGUGGGUGAAGAAGUACUCCGGUAUGUAAAGCCCUGUCAGCAGGGAAGAAAAUGACGGUACCUGACCAAGAAGCCCCGGCUAACUACGUGCCAGCAGCCGCGGUAAUACGUAGGGGGCAAGCGUUAUCCGGAUUUACUGGGUGUAAAGGGCGUGCAGCCGGAGAGACAAGUCAGAUGUGAAAUCCACGGGCUCAACCCGUGAACUGCAUUUGAAACUGUUUCCCUUGAGUGUCGGAGAGGUAAUCGGAAUUCCUUGUGUAGCGGUGAAAUGCGUAGAUAUAAGGAAGAACACCAGUGGCGAAGGCGGAUUACUGGACGAUAACUGACGGUGAGGCGCGAAAGCGUGGGGAGCAAACAGGAUUAGAUACCCCAGUAG